rnacentral:rRNA from 1 species
GAAGAACGCUGGCGGCGUGCUUAACACAUGCAAGUCGAACGGUGACCCUCGGAGCUUGCUUCGGGGUGAGCAGUGGCGAACGGGUGAGUACCACGUGAGUACCCUGCCCCUGACUCUGGAAUAAGCGCUGGAAACCGCGUCUAAUACCGGAUCCGACACGCCUCCGCAUGGGGAGCGUGUGGAACGUUUUUCGGUCUGGGAUGGACUCGCGGCCUAUCAGCUUGUUGGUGAGGUAAUGGCUCACCAAGGCGAUGACGGGUAGCCUGCCUGAGAGGGCGACCGGCCACACUGGGACUGGGACACGGCCCAGACUCCUACGGGAGGCAGCAGUGGGGAAUAUUGCACCAUGGGCGAAAGCCUGAUGCAGCGACGCAGCGUGAGGGAUGACGGCCUUCGGGUUGUAAACCUCUUUCAGCAGGGAAGAAGCGAAAGUGACGGUACCUGCAGAAGAAGCACCGGCUAACUACGUGCCAGCAGCCGCAGUAA